UACAGAGGGUGCGAGCGUUGUCCGGAAUCACUGGGCGUAAAGGGCGCGUAGGUGGCGACCCAAGUCGAUGGUGAAAGCUCGCCGCUCAACGGCGAGUCGGCCACUGAUACUGGGUUGCUGGAGCACUGUAGAGGCAGAUGGAAUUCCGGGUGUAGCGGUGGAAUGCGUAGAGAUCCGGAAGAACACCGGUGGCGAAGGCGGUCUGCUGGGCAGUUGCUGACACUGAGGCGCGACAGCGUGGGGAGCAAACGGG
rnacentral:rRNA from 1 species